UACGUAGGCAGCAGGCGUUGUUCGGAGUUACUGGGCGUAAAGGGUGUGUAGGCGGUUGUUUAAGUUUGGUGUGAAAUCUCCCGGCUCAACCGGGAGGGUGCGCCGAAUACUGAAUAACUAGAGUGCGGGAGAGGAAAGUGGAAUUCCUGGUGUAGCGGUGAAAUGCGUAGAUAUCAGGAGGAACACCGGUGGUGUAGACGGCUUUCUGGACCGUAACUGACGCUGAGACACGAAAGCGUGGGUAGCAAACAGG
rnacentral:rRNA from 1 species